UACGUAGGUGGCAAGCGUUGUCCGGAUUUACUGGGCGUAAAGAGCGCGCAGGCGGUCGUUCAAGUCGCGUGUGAAAGCCCCCGGCUCAACUGGGGAGGGUCACGCGAUACUGAUCGACUCGAAGGCAGGAGAGGGUAGUGGAAUUCCCGGUGUAGUGGUGAAAUGCGUAGAUAUCGGGAGGAACACCAGUGGCGAAGGCGGCGACCUGGGCCAAUACUGACGCUGAGGUGCGAAAGCGUGGGGAGCAAACAGGG
rnacentral:rRNA from 1 species